AUUGAACGCUGGCGGCAGGCCUAACACAUGCAAGUCGAGCGGAUGAAGGGAGCUUGCUCCUGGAUUCAGCGGCGGACGGGUGAGUAAUGCCUAGGAAUCUGCCUGGUAGUGGGGGAUAACGUCCGGAAACGGGCGCUAAUACCGCAUACGUCCUGAGGGAGAAAGUGGGGGAUCUUCGGACCUCACGCUAUCAGAUGAGCCUAGGUCGGAUUAGCUAGUUGGUGGGGUAAAGGCCUACCAAGGCGACGAUCCGUAACUGGUCUGAGAGGAUGAUCAGUCACACUGGAACUGAGACACGGUCCAGACUCCUACGGGAGGCAGCAGUGGGGAAUAUUGGACAAUGGGCGAAAGCCUGAUCCAGCCAUGCCGCGUGUGUGAAGAAGGUCUUCGGAUUGUAAAGCACUUUAAGUUGGGAGGAAGGGCAGUAAGUUAAGACCUUGCUGUUUGGACGUUACCAACAGAAUAAGCACCGGCGAACUUCGU
rnacentral:rRNA from 1 species